UGGGGAAUAUUGGACAAUGGGCGAAAGCCUGAUCCAGCAAUGCCGCGUGAGUGAUGAAGGCCUUCGGGUUGUAAAGCUCUUUUACCAGGGAUGAUAAUGACAGUACCUGGAGAAUAAGCUCCGGCUAACUCCGUGCCAGCAGCCGCGGUAAUACGGAGGGAGCUAGCGUUGUUCGGAAUUACUGGGCGUAAAGCGCGCGUAGGCGGUUACUCAAGUCAGGGGUGAAAUCCCGGGGCUCAACUCCGGAACUGCCCUUGAAACUAGGUGACUGGAAUCUUGGAGAGGCGAGUGGAAUUCCGAGUGUAGAGGUGAAAUUCGUAGAUAUUCGGAAGAACACCAGUGGCGAAGGCGACUCGCUGGACAAGUAUUGACGCUGAGGUGCGAAAGCGUGGGGAGCAAACAGGAUUAGAUACCCCCGUAGUCC
rnacentral:rRNA from 1 species